GAUGAACGCUAGCGGCGGGCUUAAUACAUGCAAGUCGAACGGUAACAGGUCUUCGGAUGCUGACGAGUGGCGCACGGGUGCGUAACGCGUACACAAUCUACCUUUAAGUGGGGUAUAGCCUUGGGAAACUGAGAAUAAUCCCCCAUAGUAUUAUUGGAUCGCAUGGUUUGAUAAUUAAAGAUUUAUUGCUUAGAGAUGAGUGUGCGUUUGAUUAGGUAGUUGGUGAGGUAACGGCUCACCAAGCCAACGAUCAAUAACUGGUCUGAGAGGAUGAUCAGUCACACGGGAACUGAGACACGGUCCCGACUCCUACGGGAGGCAGCAGUAGGGAAUAUUGGGCAAUGGAGGCAACUCUGACCCAGCCACGCCGCGUGGAGGAUGAAGGUGCUAUGCAUCGUAAACUUCUUUUGUCAAGGGAGAAAGUGCGUGAUUUUUCACGUUUUGACGGUACUUGGCGAAUAAGCAUCGGCUAACUACGUG
rnacentral:rRNA from 1 species